rnacentral:hammerhead_ribozyme from 1 species
GCACUGCUGAUGAGUGCCAAACAGGACGAAACAGCUGUCUAAGAC